UUAGAUUUAUGAAGUAACUGUAACUAUUAUAUGUAAUUAUCUUGUACCUUCUCGUGCUUUCCUUGCAUCUUUACUGUUUACAAUAAUAUUAUAUUGUUGAUUAUUUUCAUCUAUAAGACACAAUUCUUCUAAGGGCGUCGCCAUCUUUCUACUGCCGAUGCCUUAUCUCGCCGACGACAGUAACGGCUACGUUCCAAAAUUGAUUGCCAGCGCUGCGAGCGCUAAACAUUGCGUUCCAAAAAUCAUAGCAGCGCGCUGUAACAGCACUGUGACUGAAGGAUGACGUCAUCAAUUUUAACGUCACUUCCUGCUGUAGCUGCUCAGGCUAAAAAGGUGAAGCAGCUACAGCUUAAAAAUGGCGAAGAUCAUAGGCGAAUCUUUAACCUUAAUAGACGCUGAAGAGAAUAAAGAAUAUACAAUAAUUGUUUCUGAAGAAGACGCGACAAGAGCAAGGAAUGAUAAAUAUAUAGUUUUCGUAACGUAUAUUAUAGAAAUAUUUUAUUAAUAAAGUUAACUUAACCUAAUCUACUACCGACACUUUAUAAAAAUGCUCUUCGUGUUGUUAUCUUAUUUGAAAAUUUGUUUCUAGAUCACAUAUUUGCCUACUCAUUACUGAGUCAAGCAAAAAAAGAAAGUGCAGAGCAGCAAGUUAUGACAAUUAAAACUGGUGCGGUUGCUACUUGCCAGGAGAAUAGUGAUGUAUCAGAUGAUGCAGCUUAAAAUAAUAACGAUGCAGUUGCUACUUGUAGCCAGGCGAUUAGUGAUGUACCUUCAGAGAUGCAGCUUCAGAUAAUAAAGAACAACACAUAUGGAGUCGCGCAAAAACAUUACUGCUGUUAAAUUUAUAUAAAAAGCACAAUGAAUGCCACAAUCCGAAAAUAUCAUCCAAGAAAUUGUGGGAUAUAAUUUCCCAAAAAAUGGCUGUUCAAGGUUAUAUGAUAUCAGCAAUAAAAUGUGCGACGAAAUUCCAAUAUAUGAAAAGAACGUACAAGUCAAUCAGUGAUCAUAAUAAAAAAUCUGGAAACAAUCGAAAAAAAUGGGAAUAUUAUGAGCGUCGAUCGUAACAGCUGAUACCGGGUACAGCGCCGCCAACCGCACAAUCUUGUGCUCCACCGCGCCGUCGGCCAGGCUGGCCACCGCAUGUCACAGGCGGUCACAGCGCCGCUAGCACUGGGCCUUAAAGCCACAGCGUAUCACCGCACCACCGCACCGUAGUAGCCAGUACCAGCGCCGCGUCUGUCGCACCGCCGCCAAUCUCCAAACCGACCGACCGGCACGCGCGCCGCCGCAGCCAAUCGGGGCACCGCACCGACACCGAUCACGCGCAAGUGCACACCGCGACAUUGUCGCUAGCACGUACGAGAAUAUCUUGCACGGCGAGAUUGUACUGGAUAUACUGUAUACGUAUUAGCAUAGGGUCUUGUAUUAUAUUAGCAUAGGAGUUAUCGUUUUACAAUAAACUAUACCGAAUA